rnacentral:tRNA from 1 species
AGCAGCGUGGCUUAGUGGGAAGAGCCUGGGCUUGGGAAUCAGAGGAGGUGGUUUCUAAUUCCACUUCUGCCA